GACGAACGCUGGCGGCGUGCUUAACACAUGCAAGUCGAACGGUGAAGCGCCUUCCUUUUUGGUGGGUGUGGAUGAGUGGCGAACGGGUGAGUAACACGUGAGUAACCUGCCCCCUUCUUCUGGAUAACCGCAUGAAAGUGUGGCUAAUACGGGAUAUUCUGGGUCUGUCGCAUGAUGGGUCUGGGAAAGAUAUUGUUUCGGUGGGGGAUGGGCUCGCGGCCUAUCAGCUUGUUGGUGGGGUGAUGGCCUACCAAGGCGGUGACGGGUAGCCGGCCUGAGAGGGUGGACGGUCACACUGGGACUGAGACACGGCCCAGACUCCUACGGGAGGCAGCAGUGGGGAAUAUUGCACAAUGGGCGCAAGCCUGAUGCAGCGACGCCGCGUGAGGGAUGGAGGCCUUCGGGUUGUGAACAUCUUUCUCCAGUGAAGCAGGCCUGCCUCGUUUGUGGGUGGGUUGACGGUAGCUGGAUAAGAAGCGCCGGCUAACUACGUG
rnacentral:rRNA from 1 species